UACGAAGGGGGCUAGCGUUGCUCGGAAUCACUGGGCGUAAGGGUGCGUAGGCGGGUUUUUAAGUCAGGGGUGAAAUCCUGGAGCUCAACUCCAGAACUGCCUUUGAUACUGAAGAUCUUGAGUCCGGGAGAGGUGAGUGGAACUGCGAGUGUAGAGGUGAAAUUCGUAGAUAUUCGCAAGAACACCAGUGGCGAAGGCGGCUCACUGGCCCGGUACUGACGCUGAGGCACGAAAGCGUGGGGGAGCAAACAGG
rnacentral:rRNA from 1 species